UGUUGACGUCCUCUCUGUGUUCCAGACAUCACUGAUUCAACAAAAUCCCCAAGGCCUCUACCAAGGCCACCAGCUCCUGGGCAGGCCCUGUGGAUACACAGCCCUCAAGGAGCCCCCUCGCGGCCCACUUAGCCGAUCACGAUGAACAUGCAAUUUUGCUGAGGAAUAAAGCAGGUGUUUCCAGUUAGGAGGAAAUAACUCAAAUAAUAAAAUGCGAUAUCUGAACAGCUCACCGGAGGCAGUAUGCUCUGCAUCAUUCCAGAAGAACUCAGUGUGCAAGGCCCGGUGUUGGGAGCAACCUGGACUGUCUUUGUAGAGAGAAUGCAAUGUGGUUUGGUUGACCUAAAAUGCCCCUGUUGGGCGUGGACACAGCUCAUCGGGGAGAAGAUUUUCCAUGAAGGAGAAGGCUUUUAGCAUAAACGAAUGUGAAAAUCGGCGAUGCCCAACCAUGGCUGAUUCGGCAGUGCACAAUUUUUCUUGGAAACCGAAAUCCUGUAAUAGCUUGAGAGCUCCUGCUAAGAGGCCCUGUGGGUUUAAUGGGGUAAUCAUGUUACAUAUACGGUCCUCUUGAUUGUCUGCCCUUGGCCAUGUAUCUGUGUCCCUCUGCAAAUGGGUGCUUGCUUAAAAGGAUUCCCAUGCAAUAAUCAGUUGCUACCUCUUUA